UUCUAAGGGCGUUGAAGCAUGAUCGCAAGGACAUGUGGAGCGCUUAGAAGUGAGAAUGCCGGUGUGAGUAGCGAAAGACGGGUGAGAAUCCCGUCCACCGAUUGACUAAGGUUUCCAGAGGAAGGCUCGUCCGCUCUGGGUUAGUCGGGUCCUAAGCUGAGGCCGACAGGCGUAGGCGAUGGAUAACAGGUUGAUAUUCCUGUACCACCAUUAUUCGUUUUAAGCGAUGGGGGGACGCAGUAGGAUAGGCGAAGCGUGCUGUUGGAGUGCACGUCCAAGCAGUGAGAUUGAGUGUUAGGCAAAUCCGGCACUCUUAAGAUUGAGCUGUGAUGGGGAGAGGAACUUGUUCCUCGAGUCGUUGAUUUCACACUGCCGAGAAAAGCCUCUAGCUAGAAUAACGGUGCCCGUACCGCAAACCGACACAGGUAGUCAAGAUGAGAAUUCUAAGGUGAGCGAGCGAACUCUCGUUAAGGAACUCGGCAAAAUGACCCCGUAACUUCGGGAGAAGGGGUGCUCUUUGAGGUUCACGCUUCGAAGAGCCGCAGUGAAUAGGCCCAAGCGACUGUUUAUCAAAAACACAGGUCUCUGCUAAACCGUAAGGUGACGUAUAGGGGCUGACGCCUGCCCGGUGCUGGAAGGUUAAGAGGAGUGGUUAGCGCAAGCGAAGCUACGAAUCGAAGCCCCAGUAAACGGCGGCCGUAACUAUAACGGUCCUAAGGUAGCGAAAUUCCUUGUCGGGUAAGUUCCGACCCGCACGAAAGGCGUAACGAUUUGGGCACUGUCUCAACGAGAGACUCGGUGAAAUCAUAGUACCGGUGAAGAUGCCGGUUACCCGCGACAGGACGGAAAGACCCCGUGGAGCUUUACUGUAGCCUGAUAUUGAAAUUCGGUACAGUUUGUACAGGAUAGGUAGGAGCCUUAGAAGCGUGAGCGCUAGCUUACGUGGAGGCAUUGGUGGGAUACUACCCUAAUUGUAUUGGAUUUCUAACCCGCAGCACUUAUCGUGCUGGGAGACAGUGUCAGGCGGGCAGUUUGACUGGGGCGGUCGCCUCCUAAAGAGUAACGGAGGCGCUCAAAGGUUCCCUCAGAAUGGUUGGAAAUCAUUCAUAGAGUGUAAAGGCAUAAGGGAGCUUGACUGCGAGACCUACAAGUCGAGCAGGGUCGAAAGACGGACUUAGUGAUCCGGUGGUUCCGCAUGGAAGGGCCAUCGCUCAACGGAUAAAAGCUACCCCGGGGAUAACAGGCUUAUCUCCCCCAAGAGUUCACAUCGACGGGGAGGUUUGGCACCUCGAUGUCGGCUCAUCGCAUCCUGGGGCUGUAGUCGGUCCCAAGGGUUGGGCUGUUCGCCCAUUAAAGCGGUACGCGAGCUGGGUUCAGAACGUCGUGAGACAGUUCGGUCCCUAUCCGUCGUGGGCGUAGGAAAUUUGAGAGGAGCUGUCCUUAGUACGAGAGGACCGGGAUGGACAUACCUCUGGUGUACCAGUUGUCGUGCCAACGGCAUAGCUGGGUAGCUAUGUAUGGACGGGAUAAGUGCUGAAAGCAUCUAAGCAUGAAGCCCCCCUCGAGAUGAGAUUUCCCAACUUCGGUUAUAAGAUCCCUCAAAGAUGAUGAGGUGAAUAGGUUCGAGGUGGAAGCGUAGCGAUACGUGGAGCUGACGAAUACUAAUCGAUCGAAGACU
rnacentral:rRNA from 1 species